rnacentral:pre_miRNA from 1 species
CUUGUACUCCCUCUGUCCGAAAAUACUUGUCAUUGAAAUGGAUGUAUCUAGAUGUAUUUUAGCUCUAGACACAUCCAUUUUGAUGAAAAGUAAUUCCGGACGGAUGGAGUACUUG